UACAGAGGGGGCAAGCGUUGUUCGGAAUUACUGGGCGUAAAGGGCGCGUAGGCGGCCUUCUAAGUCGAACGUGAAAUCCCUGGGCUCAACCCAGGGACUGCGUCCGAUACUGGAAGGCUUGAAUCCGGGAGAGGGAUGCGGAAUUCCAGGUGUAGCGGUGAAAUGCGUAGAUAUCUGGAGGAACACCGGUGGCGAAGGCGGCAUCCUGGACCGGUAUUGACGCUGAGGCGCGAAAGCCAGGGGAGCAAACGGG
rnacentral:rRNA from 1 species